GAUGAACGCUGGCGGCGUGCCUAAUACAUGCAAGUCGAGCGAACGGACGAGAAACUUGCUUCCCUGAUGUUAGCGGCGGACGGGUGAGUAACACGUGGAUAACCUACCUAUAAGACUGGGAUAACUUCGGGAAACCGGAGCUAAUAACGGAUAAUUUUUUGAACCGCAAGGUUCAAAACUUAAAGACGGUCUUGCUGUCACUUAUAGCUGGAGCCGCGAUGCAUUAGCUAGUUGGUAAGGUAACGGCUUACCAAGGCAACGAUGCAUAGCCGAGUUGAGCGGGUGGACGGCCCACCCGGAACUGAGGCCCGGUCCAGACUCCCAAGGGGAGCAACCGUAGGGAAUCUUCGGCAAUUGGCGGAAGCCUGACGGAACCACGGCGCGUGAGUGAUAAAGGGCUUCGGAUCGUAAAACUCUGUUAUUAGGGAAGAACAUAUGUGUAAGUAACUGUGCACAUCUUGACGGUACCUAAUAAGAGAGGCACGGCUAACUACGUG
rnacentral:rRNA from 1 species